GAUGAAGAACGCAGCGAAAUGCGAUAAGUAAUGUGAAUUGCAGAAUUCAGUGAAUCAUCGAAUCUUUGAACGCACAUUGCGCCCGCCAGUAUUCUGGCGGGCAUGCCUGUCCGAGCGUCAUUUCAACCCUCGAACCCCUCCGGGGGGUCGGCGUUGGGGAUCGGGAACCCCUAAGACGGGAUCCCGGCCCCGAAAUACAGUGGCGGUCUCGCCGCAGCCUCUCCUGCGCAGUAGUUGCACAACUCGCACCGGGAGCGCGGCGCGUCCACGUCCGUAAAACACCCAACUUCUGAAAUGUUGACCUCGGAUCAGGUAGGAAUACCCGCUGAACUUAAGCAUAUCAAUAAGCGGAGGA
rnacentral:misc_RNA from 1 species